rnacentral:rRNA from 1 species
UCCUACGGGAGGCAGCAGUGAGGAAUAUUGGUCAAUGGACGAGAGUCUGAACCAGCCAAGUAGCGUGCAGGAUGACGGCCCUAUGGGUUGUAAACUGCUUUUAUAAGGGAAUAAAGUGAGUCUCGUGAGGCUUUUGCAUGUACCUUAUGAAUAAGGACCGGCUAAUUCCGUGC